UACAGAGGGUGCAAGCGUUAAUCGGAAUUACUGGGCGUAAAGCGCGCGUAGGUGGUUCGUUAAGUUGGAUGUGAAAUCCCCGGGCUCAACCUGGGAACUGCAUUCAAAACUGUCGAGCUAGAGUAUGGUAGAGGGUGGUGGAAUUUCCUGUGUAGCGGUGAAAUGCGUAGAUAUAGGAAGGAACACCAGUGGCGAAGGCGACCACCUGGACUGAUACUGACACUGAGGUGCGAAAGCGUGGGGGAGCAAAACAGG
rnacentral:rRNA from 1 species